CUCUGAAGCACUGAAUGUAGUUUCACUGUUCUCAUCAUUAAACUUUGGUACACUAAAACAUAGGCUAAGGGUGAAGAUAGGAUAGAAGAUGGUGUUACUCUACUCAUUUUUCUCCCAGCUUACAAAA
rnacentral:snoRNA from 1 species